rnacentral:lncRNA from 1 species
AGAGAUCAUAGGGUUUGGCAAUAAUAAUAAAUAUAAAAUAAAAUAAAAUUGAUAAGUGGCAAAGGAGCAUAGAGAUGAACGAAUGUUGAUUUAUAUGAGAUGGAUAUGUUAUUGGGGGUUAGAUUUCACCAAGUUCCCCCUCAUGAAUAUAAGAAUUAUUCUUUAUGCAUUAAUGCCGACGUCUCUCACUAAAUUACCUACCCCGAUCCCUCGGUGAAUAAGCCUAACCCUAAUUACCAGUUCAUACAAUUCCUAGAAUUCCUGGUAAAAAGAUGUGAAGAAAAAGAGAUUAAGACGACUACGACUCAUACCCUCAUCCUUGAGAAAUAUAACCCUUAGGAGUAAUUCAACAAGAACCUGAAUUGAAAGGAACCUCCC